GACGAACGCUGGCGGCGUGCCUAAUACAUGCAAGUAGAACGCACAGUUUAUACCGUAGCUUGUUACACCAUAGCCUGUGAGUUGUGAACGGGUGAGUAACGCCCAGGUUACCUGCCUGGUAGCGGGGGGUAACUCCGGGACACGAUAGCUAUUACCGCAUAAUAUUAAUUAUUGCAUGAUAAUUGAUUGAAAGGUGCAAUUGCACCACUACCACAUGGCCCUGCGUUGUAUUAGCUAGUAGGUGAGGUAACGGCUUACCUAGGCGACGAUACAUAGCCGACCUGAGAGGGUGAUCGGCCACACUGGAACUGAGACACGGCCCAGACUCCUACGGGAGGCAGCAGUAGGGAAUCUUCCGCAAUGGGCGAAAGCCUGACGGAGCAACGCCGCGUGAGUGAUGAAGGUUUUCGGAUCGUAAAACUCUGUUAUUAGGGAAGAACAAAUGUGUAAGUGGAAAUGCAAGACUGUAAGGUUAUUUAACAGAAAAGGGCCGCCUACUAACUU
rnacentral:rRNA from 1 species